rnacentral:lncRNA from 1 species
AAAACCCUAAUUCUAUCAAACACAAAAACUCUCAUCUAGGUAUCUUUAUCAUCUUCAACAUGCUUUCAGAUCUUGAAGAUCCAUCCAAUUCUCCUUUUCCUUCGUUUAUCCCUUUUCAUUAUCAUCGAUUUUCUUUUGUCUUCCCCUUUCAUAAUCCUCUGUAAACCCUAGAGGAGUCUACACCAGUUCUUCGAGGUUACUGAUUCAAUCUGAUGGAAUGAUGGAUCUUUAUUCAGGCAUUUGGAGAGAGGGAAAUGGUCGAUAUAUGACAAUAAGAGAGAGGGAGUGAGUGUUACAGAUAGAGACGGUGGUGGCUGUUGUUGCGACACCACUCGCCACCGGCGACGAGGAUGACCAUCGGUGGUCAAGGGUUUAGAAUAGCGGUCUCGCUUAUGACCACAGUGGCCUCCGGGGACGAGGAUGACCACAGUGGCCUUCGUUCAUUUUUAGUUCGUAUUUUUGGUGGGUUUAUGGCUUGGGGACUGAUCUAGCAAAAUUCUAUUCGUAUUUUUAGGGUUUUGAGUUUACAUGAUUAUAUUUGUCGAAGUAAAGAAUUAGUGACUAAAAGGUCCGUUGUGUUUUCUUUCUGGUGAAUGUAGAGUCUUCGUAAUUGACAGACGACCAAAUCGAUGGAAUUAGUUAUCCGGAGGUUAUGUUCUUGCUUCCAGAAUGCUUAAUAGUACUGCGGGUUUGUGGAUGAUUUCUGUUCAUUUGUUCAUUUUGGAUUUGAACAUCUCAUAACGGUUUCUUGCUGGAAGUAUAGUAUAUUGUGGAAGUCGACUCUCUUCAAUACUCUCACCAAGUUAUCAAUACCUGCUGGGAACUUUCCAUUUUGUAUAAUUGAACCUAAUGAAGCGCGUGUCAACAUUCCUGAUGAGUGGUUUGAAUGGCUCUGUCAACUGUUCAAGCCAAAGAGUGAGGUUUCUGCAUUUUUAGAGAUACAUGACAUUGCUGGGUUGGUGAAAGGUGCUCAUGAAGGACAAGGGCUUGGAAACAAUUUCUUAUCACACAUUCGUGCCGUUGAUGGCAUAUUCCAUGUUCUAUGUAAGAUUGCAUUUAUAUAAUCUUUCUGAAAUAGUUAUGUUAGGUCAUCUGAAAAUUGUUUGUCAUACAUAUAAUCAAAGUGCUACAGGUUCAUACAUAUCAUUGAUUUCCUCUAAUUUUAGUUAUAUGCUUUCAAAAGUUAGUUGUUCACGGGUGGUUGUUUAGAUCUUAUGAUCGGGUUUAACGUAGAUGGCAGUAUAUUAAUUAAAUUUGCUUUCCCAUUUUGUUAUACCCAACUGAUUGUUUCAAAGCAUGAACAAGUGUUGUGAUUAGGUACUACAAUCACAAUUUUGAGGACCAUUAUCACAGCUACAUGGCUGGUUCUGUUUUGAUGCUAAUUUUACCCAUGUCUGUAGAGCUUUAGAAAGGGCAUUUACAAAACCUUUAGUAGCUCUAAAGAUUCUAUACAUUGGAAUACACUUGGGAUGACUGUUGACCCAUUUGGCCCGUUAAGAGAUAAUGCAAAGUUCCAUGAGAUAUAUUCUGGUUCUUGGAAUGACGUCUGAUGGCGGGCAUAUGCCUUUUAGAAACUCUCUUGAUGGAAAUUUAGAUGUGGAGCCUUUGUUAUGCACAUAUUAUUGGCCCAUAGCAUGGCAGCAGCUCAAAGUGGGUACUUUCUGUAACGGGUCAGUCAGGUUGACCCUUAAAAAAUUUGUUUUCUUUAUAUUGUUUCUGAUAAUUAGCGCGUACAAUCAAUAAUAUGGUUUCUAGAUGUGGCAGAAUGGGUCGGACUGCAGGUCAACGUGAGUGCUUUUUGGUACGGGUCAGUCAAGUUGACCUUAAAACAAUUUGUGAUCUAUAUAUUGUUACAGAUAGUUAAUGUGUACAUGAGUAUAUCCAACAAUACGGGUUCUAGAUGUAGCAAAAUGGGUCCUUUUGGUAUGGGUAGGUCAGGUUGACCCUUAAAACAAUUAUUGUUCUAUAUUAUUGUUGCAGAUAGUAAACGUGUACAAUCAAUACUAUGGUUUUUAGUUGUGGCAAGAUGGGUGGUUGGGCAGCAGGUCAAAGUGCGUACUUUUUUGUACAGCUGCAUUUCGGCCGCAUGCUCAUAGCCGGAACGAGGUGAGAUUGUUAAACAGAUCGGUGAUGCAUUGAGAUCCAAGCUCGAGUACCUUGGUCGGCUUUUAUCACUUGAGAUGGGAAAAAUUCUUCCAGAAGGAAUUGGGGAAGUUCAAGAAGUUAUUGACAUGUGCGACUUUGCAGUGGGGUUAAGCGGACAACUAAAUGGAUAAGUCAUACCCUCUAAACGUCUGUUGAAUAUGGACAAAGAUUAAAGUUGCAUCUUGAUUAUUCGAGAAUGCCUAUAAAAAAAAAGACACAUCACAUGGCAGCAGAUUAUUCGAGAAUGCCUAUAAAAAAAAAGACACAUCACAUGGCAGCAGAGCCAACAGUGGUGGUGGUUUGGAGUGUGUUCAUGCAUAAUUUUUGCUACAAGAUCACCUCAUGGCCCUUGCCCUAUUGCUCUUACGGUUGCUAAAGUACUACGUCAAUGCCACUAUAUUUUGAGUUGGAAGACUGUGAACGGAAAAUGAGGAGCUGAAUCAGAAUGGAGAAGAAAUUAAAUCAAUAGAUUUAUAUUGAAAAGUUUUUUCAUUACAAAGUUCAUAUCAAUGUUAGUAGAUAUUAUAUGUUUGUGUUAAGCCACCCGUGAAACUCGCGGGAUCUUAGACUAUAUGAAUUUAAAUAAGAAUUUAGAUAUUGAAGUUUAUAUAAACUUGAUGUCAAUCAAAAGAUGAAAACAGUGACCUUUCGUUGAUCUAUUAAAGGUUCGCUGGUAUGUAACAGAUUUUUGGUGAAGGAAGUGAUCACUCUGUUCGGUUUUGGGUUUGUACCGGUUAGGGUCAUAUAUUGUCUGUUUGAGACCUGUUUUAACCCUUAGACGUGAAGCCUAAGUUUGGAAAGGCCUAGAAAAAAAAUGAUGAUC